AUUGAACGCUGGCGGCAUGCUUUACACAUGCAAGUCGAACGGUAGAGGGGCAACCCUUGAGAGUGGCGAACGGGUGAGUAAUGCAUCAGAACGUGCCCAGUAGUGGGGGAUAGCCCGGCGAAAGCCGGAUUAAUACCGCAUGAGACCUGAGGGUGAAAGCGGGGGAUCGCAAGACCUCGCGCUAUUGGAGCGGCCGAUGUCAGAUUAGCUAGUUGGUGGGGUAAAGGCCAACCAAGGCGACGAGCGGGAGCUGGUCUGAGAGGACGACCAGCCACAAUGGGAUUGAAACCCGGCCCUGUCUCCUAUGGGAGGCAGCAGUGGGGAAUUUUGGACAAUGGGCGCAAGCCUGAUGCAGCCAUGCCGCGUGCGGGAAGAAGGCCUUCGGGUUGUAAACCGCUUUUGUCAGGGAAGAAAUCUUCUAGGCUAAUACCCUGGGAGGAUGACGGUACCUGAAGAAUAAGCACCGGCUAACUACGUGCCAGCCGCCGCGGUAAAAC
rnacentral:rRNA from 1 species